CAAGUCGAACGGACUUGAAGGGCUUGCUCUUCAAGUUAGUGGCGAACGGGUGAGUAAUGCAUCGGAACGUACCGUGUGAUGGGGGAUAACUAACCGAAAGGUUGGCUAAUACCGCAUACGCCCUGAGGGGGAAAGAGGGGGAUCGCAAGACCUCUUGUCAUACGAGCGGCCGAUGUCAGAUUAGCUAGUUGGUGAGGUAAAGGCUCACCAAGGCGACGAUCUGUAGCGGGUCUGAGAGGACGACCCGCCACACUGGGACUGAGACACGGCCCAGACUCCUACGGGAGGCAGCAGUGGGGAAUCUUGGACAAUGGGCGCAAGCCUGAUCCAGCAAUGCCGCGUGGGUGAAGAAGGCCUUCGGGUUGUAAAGCCCUUUUGUCAGGGAGCAAAUCCUUGGUGUUAAUACCGCCUGGGGAUGAGAGUACCUGAAGAAUAAGGACCGGCUAACUACGUGCCAGCAGCCGCGGU
rnacentral:rRNA from 1 species